rnacentral:lncRNA from 1 species
AUCAGCGAAUUUCCCGACAAUCGGAGGCAGUGGAAGAUGCUCGGCAGGCUGUGGCCGAUGCGGAAGUCAAAUGUCUCGCUACUGCAGAUGAAGCUGCUCACACAUUUCAUCGUCUUUGUAUCGCCAACAGAACCAUUUUAGAGAUGAGCUACGCAGAAAAAGAAUUUCGUGCUGAUGCGCAUAUUCACGACCAAGAACUCAAGGCAGUGGGCGAAGACCUUGCAACGCUGACACGCGAACAACAAAAAAUGAACGCUGAACUCGUCAAAUUUGCAAUUGAACGUGACCUGGCAAUAUCUGCAUUAAACGAGAUGAACGUGUCAAAAGUCGAAAUGGAUACUUCGGUCAAGGCCACCAAGAAAGAAUUGGAAGAUGUGGUGGUGGCAUACCAAGAACUCGGAUCUGAAAAUCGACGUCUGAUUGCAGCUGUGUCUGCUCUCGAGCGCGACAGUCAGCGCGCAAAAAUGGCUCAAGUUAUCAGCGAGGCAGCGCUUGAUAAAGCAUUCACUCGGAUUAAAAUGCUGGAAGAACAAAAUUCUCAGUUUAUCAUUGAGAUCCAGGCUUUCGAAAGACAGGUAGAAAAUUUGUCUCGUUCGCUUACAGAUUCGAAACUAAACGGUAUAGGUGCAAAUCAAGAAAUUUCAGACUUGCACGAUCGACUCGCAGCCUCACAUGCUUUAGCAAUGGAACUUGGCCGCGCGCGCGAACAGACUCAAAGGGAGCUUGUUGCAGCGGAGUCAAGCCUUCAUGUCAUGCGGAAACGGCUGACAUACUCACAGGAUGAGUGCGACACGAUCAGUCUACGCUUGAGAAUCGCGUCAGACCGUGUCCGCGAACUCGAAACGUUACUCGCGGACACCCGGGCGAAAGAGCACAGGAGAGAUAUAUCCUCCUUGGACGCUGACCGACAUGUAUCGCAAACAACCGAGAAAGAAGAUCAUGUCGACGUCGGCGAGCAUGUCUCCGAUCAAUGCAUCGCAGGGCGUCUAAAAGAGUUGAAGCAAGAGAACUUUUCUCUUCGUAGUCAUUUGGCUGGCACCGAGGAGGCGUGCGAAAAGAUGGAAAAAGAGCUAAAGAGGAUACAAAAAGAGUACAACGACCUGGCCGGAAGCUUGUCAGGUAGUCUUGACGGCGAUGUCAUGGACGCGUACAGAAUGAGUUGAGCGUUGGCUACGGGUACCUGACUAAUAACCACUCGACUGGCUGGCAUAGCAGAUAUAUAAGUUAUUAUUAUCUUGCCAUGUAUGUUUAUUUGAUGCUGUAGAUUUGCUCGAUCCUCAUUCACUAGUGUAUUAUGUAAAAACCAUUUUGGCUAAUAAAUCAUGCAUGGAUAAAUUAGUCGGGUAGAUAGCUAAUAAUAAUAAUAAUAUGAAUGCGAAUAUAUUUACUUA